UACGUAGGGCGCAAGCGUUAUCCGGAAUUAUUGGGCGUAAAGAGCUCGUAGGCGGUUUUGUCGCGUCUGCCGUGAAAGUCCGGGGCUCAACUCCGGAUCUGCGGUGGGUACGGGCAGACUAGAGUGAUGUAGGGGAGACUGGAAUUCCUGGUGUAGCGGUGAAAUGCGCAGAUAUCAGGAGGAACACCGAUGGCGAAGGCAGGUCUCUGGGCAUUAACUGACGCUGAGGAGCGAAAGCAUGGGGAGCAAACGGG
rnacentral:rRNA from 1 species